GGUCAAGAUAUAAAGGGCGUAUGGUGAAUGCCUUGGCAUCGGGAGCCGAAGAAGGACGCGAUAAGCUGCGAAAAGCUCUGGGUAGGCGCAAAUAGCCUGUGAUCCAGAGAUCUCCGAAUGAGGAAACUCACAUGGGAAACCCCAUGUAUCCAUAAGUGAAUACAUAGCUUAUGGAGGGUAAACUCAGGGAACUGAAACAUCUAAGUACCUGANNNNNNNNNNGAUGGACUGACCUCUGGUGUACCAGUUGUUCCGCCAGGAGCAUAGCUGGGUAGCUAAGUCGGGAAGGGAUAAACGCUGAAGGCAUCUAAGCGUGAAGCCCACCUCAAGAUAAGAUUUCCCAUAGAGUAAUCUAGUAAGAUCCCUUGAAGAACACAAGGUUGAUAGGUGAGAGGUGUAAGUGUGGUAACAUAUUUAGCUGACUCAUACUAAUAGAUCGAGGGCUUGACCAA
rnacentral:rRNA from 1 species